rnacentral:rRNA from 1 species
UACGGGGGGGGCAAGCGUUGUUCGGAAUUACUGGGCGUAAAGGGCUCGUAGGCGGCCAACUAAGUCAGACGUGAAAUCCCUCGGCUUAACCGGGGAACUGCGUCUGAUACUGGAUGGCUCGAGAUUGGGAGAGGGAUGCGGAAUUCCUGGUGUAGCGGUGAAAUGCGCGGAUAUCAGGAGGAACACCGAUGGCGAAGGCGGGUCUCUGGGCAUUAACUGACGCUGAGGAGCGAAAGCAUGGGGAGCGAACAGG